rnacentral:rRNA from 1 species
CAGCCGCCGCGGGAAUACGUAGGGUGCGAGCGUUAAUCGGAAUUACUGGGCGUAAAGCGUGCGCAGGCGGUUGUGUAAGACAGGUGUGAAAUCCCCGGGCUUAACCUGGGAACUGCGCUUGUGACUGCACAGCUAGAGUAUGGCAGAGGGGGGUGGAAUUCCACGUGUAGCAGUGAAAUGCGUAGAGAUGUGGAGGGACACCGAUGGCGAAGGCAGCCCCCUGGGCCAAUACUGACGCUCAUGCACGAAAGCGUGGGGAGCAAACAGGAUUAGAUACCCCUGUAGUCCCUGUCUCUUAUAC